GCGGCCGUGGCGGAAUGGCAGACGCGCCGGCCUUAGGAGCCGGUAUCUUACGAUGUGGGAGUUCAAGUAUCUUCGGCCGCACCA
rnacentral:tRNA from 1 species